GGCCGGGUAGCAAUACCCGAGUCGAGCGGCGAACGGGUGAGUAACACGUGGAUUAUCUGCCCUGAGGUGGGGGAUAACCCGGGGAAACUCGGGCUAAUACCGCAUAUGACCGUGAGGUCAAAGGGGGGUCGCAAGAUCUCUCGCCUUUGGAGGAGUCCGCGUCCGAUUAGCUAGUUGGUAGGGUAAUGGCCUACCAAGGCGACGAUCGGUAGCCGGCCUGAGAGGGUGAUCGGCCACACUGGAACUGAGACACGGUCCAGACUCCUACGGGAGGCAGCAGUGGGGAAUUUUGCGCAAUGGGCUAACGCCUGACGCAGCAACGCCGCGUGGAGGAUGAAGGUCCUUGGAUUGUAAACUCCUGUCAGCAGGGAAAAAGCAAUUUAGCCUAAUACGCUAGAGAGUUGAUUGUACCUGCAGAGGAAGCCCCGGCUAACUCUGUGCCAGCAGCCGCGGUAAUACAGAGGGGGCAAGCGUUAUUCGGAAUUAUUGGGCGUAAAGGGCGCGUAGGCGGCAUGACAAGUGGAUGGUGAAAUCCCUCGGCUUAACCGAGGAACUGCCAUCCAGACUGUUUUGCUUGAGGCCGGGAGAGGUGAGUGGAAUUCCCAGUGUAGCGGUGAAAUGCGUAGAUAUUGGGAGGAACACCAGUGGCGAAGGCGGCUCACUGGACCGGUUCUGACGCUGAGGCGCGAAAGCGUGGGGAGCAAACGGGAUUAGAUACCCCGGUAGUCCACGCCGUAAACGAUGAGUGCUUGGUGUAGCGGGUAUCGACCCCUGCUGUGCCGAAGUCAACACAUUAAGCACUCCGCCUGGGGAGUACGGUCGCAAGGCUG
rnacentral:rRNA from 1 species